rnacentral:sRNA from 1 species
AAACCAGCACGAGGUGCGUGUUGAACUU